rnacentral:rRNA from 1 species
ACUACGUCGACUAAAGUUCUAGGUAGAAUAAUGAUGAUGACAAUUUUUUACCUAUAUGUCUUGACCAAGUCUCGUGCCAGCAGUCGCGGUAAUACGUGGAAGACUAGUGUUAUUCAUCUUUAUUAGGUUUAAAGGGUACCUAGACGGUAUUUCUAGCCCAAAAUAGGGUACGGAUUUACUAGAGUUUUAUGUGAGGAGGGGAGUACUCGUAGAGUAGAGAUGAAAUUUUGUUAUACUAUGAGGUAACUGGUGGCGGCGAAAGCAACCUUCUAUGUAUAAACUGACGUUGAGGGACGAAGGCUUGGGUAGCAAAUAGGAUUAGAUACCCUAGUAGUCCAAGCAGACAAUUCUGAAUGCCAUAGAUUAGAUUAUUUUUGGUCUAUAAAUGAAAGUGUAAGCAUUCCACCUUAGGAGUAAUGUGGCAACACAGGAACUGAAAUCAUUAGACCGUUUCUGAAACCAGUAGUGAAGUAUGUUAUUUAAAUUGAUGGUCCACAAAAAACCUUACCACAACUUGAAUAUUUUCAAUUAAUACAAGCGUUGCACGGCUGUCUUCAGUUAAUGUCGUGAGAU